ACUUUGCCAGCACAAAGCUUGAAAACAGAACCAAAAAUUUUGAAAGUUAAAAAAUGAGGAGGGAGUUGGAAAAUGGAAUAGCAGAGGCAGAGAGGUAGGUGAGAGGACAUUGUAAGUAAUUCCUCUCUUUCUCUCUCUCUUUGUCAUUUGAUACCCCAAAAAGAGUUUCACAUGCACCAAUCAAAAUCGGAAUCAAGCGCGAACGAAGGUCUUCGGAAAACUCCGUCACGGCCGGACAAUCAAAAUCUAGGUAUAAAUCCUCAUACUCCAUUAGCUAGGGCAUUUCUAUCCGGUGAGAGUAGUGGUUUAGGGCAGUGAAGAUGGAGAUGAAGAGGCCGGUAGUGAUGGUGGUUGAGGGAUGGAGUGAGGAAGCCGGUAGUGAUGGUUGUUGAGGGAUGGAGAGAGAGAGAGAGAGAGCGAGAGAAAGAUGGAGAUGAGGAGGCCGGUAGUGAUGGUGGUUAAGGGAUGGAGUGAGGAGGCCGGUAGUGAUGGUUGUUGAGGGAUGGAGAGAGAGAGAGAGAGAGUGAGUGAUGAGCGGUAGUGGGAAGACUGAGAGGACUUGGUUCGUUCUCGACCCCUGGUUCUUCCCGGCGCUCUCGGCUCUCUUGCUCCGCCCUCACCGCCCUCACGAUCCCGCCAAUGACGACCAUGAGUGAUGAUGGAGAGAGGACGUGCCCCCUCUGUGCGGAGGAGAUGGACCUCACUGACCAACAACUGAAACCUUGCAAAUGUGGAUAUGAGUUCUCAAUUCGACGGUGUUGUGCUCGAUGUGGAUAGUGGGGGUGUGCGGGAGCCAGUACAGCAGUGCUUGUGGGAUUGUCAGGUGUUGGUUUUCAGGGAAGCACGCCUACUUGGAGGGGAUUCCGACGAGUUGGGGAGCACACACGGCGUUGCUGGAGGAGUUGUAGGAGGAGUUUGGGUUUUUGAGGGUGAAGAGGGUGAUGGUGGUUUGUAGGGUGGUGGCGGGGAGGGUGGCGCAUGGCGCACUGCAGUGGUUUGACUGUGUAUUGUAUUUUAUAUAUCAAUUGCUUUAACUUUUGUUUGCAGAUGUCUCAACCACAACUAUAGUAGGACCUGGCCCAGUUAUAGACUUUCUCAAAUUGAUUGGUCAAAAGCAAAACGGAUACUGAAGAAUUUAAGGAUAAAAGCUCCUUCUUCAAACACAGAGUAUAGGAUUGUUGGUUUGAGUGAACUGCCCUGCAAUCAUCAAUUGUGAUGAGACAUCCAGAGACUGGGACAAAGCAUGGUCAAGUUUCAGAAAUAAAGGGAAGAAAUCAGCAAUGAGAAAAAUUACCUCCCUCUAAUGCUUGUUUGAGUUUUAUUUUUCCACAUGAUUACUAGGAUGUUCUGAUCAAUGCCUACAUAGAUUGUUCUUUUAUGGAUUAGAGUGUUUAUGUUCGUUCGUUUGGUAGUUGACUUUGGAUGCUUGUGAGCUUUUCUAUAGAAGUGUAUGGUUUUGUGUUCUGGUUCAUCAUCAGUCUUUUUGUAACUCUUUGGUAAAUUGACCAGACUUUUUGAUCUAUAUGCUUAUUGCCUUUUGAUA